rnacentral:pre_miRNA from 14 species
UCCUUGUUGAAAGACCCCCGAGCGGGGAGACCCUCACUCAAGUCUCGGGAUGAUGCGACCCUCCAAGAACUCACAUGAGACC